UACAGAGGGUGCGAGCGUUAAUCGGAAUUACUGGGCGUAAAGCGCACGUAGGCGGAUCGUUAAGUCGGGGGUGAAAUCCUGGAGCUCAACUCCAGAACUGCCUUCGAUACUGGCGAUCUUGAGUCCGGAAGAGGUGAGUGGAACUCCUAGUGUAGAGGUGGAAUUCGUAGAUAUUAGGAAGAACACCAGUGGCGAAGGCGGCUCACUGGUCCGGUACUGACGCUGAGGUGCGAAAGCGUGGGGAGCAAACAGG
rnacentral:rRNA from 1 species